UCCGCAGAGGCGCUGCCCCAUCCUAAGUCCACCAUUGAAUAUGGCUUUGGACGUGGCCCAUUGAGGGUGUAAGGCCCGUGUGGGUGGGGUUCUUUUGGCCAGUGUCUCUCUGGGUAGACCUUGGAGUCGGGUUGUUUGUGAAUGCAGCCCAAAGUGGGUGGUAAACUCCAUCCAAGGCUAAAUACUUGCACGAGUCCGAUAGCGAACAAGUACCGUGAGGGAAAGUUGAAAAGUACUUUGAAGAGAGAGUAAACAGUGCGUGAAACCGCUCAGAGGUAAACGGGUGGAGUUGAACUGCAAUCUCUGUGAAUUCAGCUGGUGAGUCUGGUUUGGGCUUGGACAAGUCUAUCGUUCUCCGUGGUCUGACUAUUAUUAGGUCCUCGUCUUCGGGCGGGGAUGCGCGAUGCUCCUACCAUGUGCUGCGCGCUGCGGAGUUUCGGAUUAGCUUGCCAGUGCACUUUUGCAGAGUGUUCACCACGACCGGCAUCGCUGUCUGGCUGUUUUGGUUAAACCUUCCUUGUAGGGUCCUUGUGGCUUUGCAUGGUCGGGAUGGCAGGUAGCUCGUUGGUGGCUGUGGCUUGCUGCAGUUGUCUUCGGGUGUAAUUAGCUGACCAUUACGGUUCUGUGCAGUAUGUCGGAGACGGCGGCUUGUGUGUGCGUGCGUGCCGGUCUCUUGGGCAUGCUCGAGUCUGAUUGUCAUGUUGCUCGCACAAAGUGGGCCAUGGCAGUGGCUUGGGUGUGUUCUUUGGGCGGUUGCGUGCGUGUCACUUCAUAGUGCCAAUAGUCUGUGGUGUAGUGGUAGAUUAUCCACCUGACCCGUCUUGAAACACGGACCAAGGAGAGUAACAUGUGCGCGAGUCAUUGGGCGUAACGAAACCCACAGGCGCAGUGAAAGUAAAGGCUUGGCUUGUCCUUGCUGAGGUGAGAUCCUGCUGUUUCCCAUGCGCGGUUCUACCAAGCAUCGAGCAGUAGGCGCAUCACCGGCCCGUCUCAUGUCGUGGACACAUUCUCUUCGGAGUUGUGCAUCGUCGGGGCGGAGCAUGAGCGUACAUGUUGAGACCCGAAAGAUGGUGAACUAUGCUUGUGCAGGUUGAAGCCAGAGGAAACUCUGGUGGAGGACCGCAGCG
rnacentral:rRNA from 1 species